GUCGUCGGCUGUUUGUAGUUUUGUCAAUUAAUGGUUGGGUUGACUUCUAGUUAAAGAUUCUCGGGUCCCAUGUUCUUAUUCUUUCGAGCAUGCUAACAGCUGCUAAGACAUAUUUCGUCCAGUUUCACAGUAGUUUACUUCAGUUUACUUGUGCUUCGAUUGCAUUCGUUAUCGGUGUGCACGGAUCGCUUGGCCUCUGCAUAUGUAUAUGUUUUGCAAUGGCUGUGAAAGUGAUUAAUUUGGAGUGUGUUUGAUGAAAAUUGGAAGGUCUGAAUGAAAAUUUCGCAGUUUUACUGCUAAGAAGUGGUGUUUGAGUAUGUAAUUUGUGGUCAGUGUUGUAAAUUUGUUCAGUUGUGAAAGAAUAAUGAGUUUAAAUGUUCUUAAUUGGUAUUGCCAGCCUAUAAGGUAUGGUAUUUGGGCAAGCGAGACGCAGAGUGCAUUUGGUGCUUAUACACCAUGUGGCAUAGAUUCUUUUGUGAUCAGUGUAUCUCAUUUGGUGCUUUUGAUUUUGUGCUUGUACCGAAUAUGGUUGAUUACAAGGGAUGUUAUGGUGCAGCGGUUUUGUCUGAGAUCGAAUGUUUAUAACUAUGUAUUGGGGGUUAUAACCACUUACUGUACUGCUGAGCCUUUGUUCAGAUUGGGUUUUGGGGUUUCACUAUUUAACUUGAAUGAAGACUCCGGGUUUGCACCUUUUGAGGUGGUUUCCUUGAUUAUCAGUGCUCUUUCUUGGGGAUUUAUGUUGCUGAUGAUUGCCUUGGAAACAAAAAUUUAUGUUCGAGCAUUUCGAUGGUACAUCCGCUUUGCAGUUAUAUAUCUCCUUGUCGCAGAUACCGUGAUGCUGACCUUUUUGAUUUCCUUGAAGAAUUUUUACCCGAGGUUUGUAUUGCUUUUGUACAUGUGUACAUUCUUCUGCAAGAUUAUGUUUGGAAUGCUUCUCCUUUUUCACAUUCCGAAUCUGGACCCUUACCCGAAUUACAUCCCACUGUCAACGGGGUCUUCUGAUGACACAAAGUAUGAAGCACUUCUUGGAGGUGAUCAUGUUUGUCCAGAGAGAGAGGCCAACAUAUUUUCCAGGACGUUUUUUGGGUGGAUUACUCCUCUUAUGCAGCAAGGAUACAGAAGACCUAUUACUGAAAAGGAUGUUUGGAAGUUAGAUACAUGGGAUCAGAGUGAAACAUUAAGGAUAAAGUUUCUGCAAUGCUGGAUGGAAGAAUCUCAAAAGGAGAAGCCAUGGCUAUUACGUGCUUUAAAUAGUAGUCUUGGAAGAAGGUUUUGGUUGGGUGGAUUUUUCAAAAUUGGAAAUGAUCUCUCACAGUUUGUAGGACCUGUUAUAUUAAACCGUCUCUUGCAGUCACUAGAGCGAGGUGAUCCAGCUUGGAUUGGUUAUUUGUAUGCCUUUCUAAUUUUUGUAGGGGUGUCAUUAGGCGUGCUGUGCGAAGCUCAGUAUUUUCAGAAUGUGAUGCGUGUUGGGUUCAGACUAAGAUCAACUCUGGUGGCUGCUGUAUUUCGCAAGUCUCUGAGGCUGACAAGUGAGGGGAGAGAAAAAUUUCCUCCCGGAAGGAUAACAAAUAUGAUGACAACGGAUGCUAAUGCACUUCAGAGAAUAUGCCAACAGCUUCAUAAUUUGUGGUCUUCACCAUUUCGUAUAAUCAUGGCUUUGGUUCUUCUCUACCAGCAAUUGGGUGUUGCUUCAAUACUUGGUUCUCUUGUGUUACUUCUCAUGAUUCCUUUACAGACAUUUAUUGUAAGCAAAGCGCGAAAGUUUUCCAGAGAAGGGUUGGAAUGUACUGACAAGAGAGCAGGCUUAAUGAAUGAAAUUCUUGCCGCCAUGGAAACUGUGAAAUGUUACGCAUGGGAGGAGAGCUUUCAAACAAAAGUUCAAAGCAUGCGAAAUGAUGAACUCUCGUGGUUCCGCAAAUCGCAGCUGCUAGGAGCGUGCAACACUUUUAUUCUAAACAGCAUCCCAGUUCUUGUGACGGUGAUCUCAUUCGGAUGUUUUACUCUUCUUGGUGGAGAAUUGACCCCUGCAAGGGCUUUUACAUCACUUUCUCUGUUUGCAGUACUGCGUUUUCCUCUAAACAUGCUCCCAAAUUUGAUAACUCAGGUAGUAUCCAUCAAAGUUCUCUUGCGACGAUGCUUCGACAAAGGAUGGCGUCUCGAAGUCAAAAAGAGAAUAACACCAUUGGCCGUGAAAUAGGUUUGCACUAUUUCCGAUUCUUUAUUCAAAAUAUUUGCUCCAUUGUGUAUAUUUGUUCAUUCUAUUAUUGUUUAACGGGUUCUGAAAUUUGUUGUUUGAACGCUGCAAGUAUCAUAAUUAGUACAUGAUUUUGUAUUGAACGUGUUUGAUAAUUUACUACAAAGAAAAGCUGAGAGAUCGGUCCUCACAAUUUCUAUUGCUUUCAUGCUCCAGGAAUUUGAGAAAAGCCACCGGAUGAAAGUUUGGAAAGCUAGAGAGGCUUUUAUGAAAGUAUACGACCUACGCAUAUGGGAUUAUGACUUAGCAUUGGUUGUUCUCUUUUUUGUAUUCCUGUUCUGGUUUUUGAGUUUUUUUAUACUGUAUAGAUGACAAGAUAAUUUGUAAUUACUUUAUUUACAUUAUUUUUGCAUAAUUUCCUUUCUUAUUGAUAGUGAUUAUGAUGCAUGUAUGUCCUAUAAUGAAUUUAUUGAGCCUCUUUUUGUUAUUGAGUUUUC